UACGAAGGGGGCUAGCGUUGCUCGGAAUUACUGGGCGUAAAGGGAGCGUAGGCGGACAGUUUAGUCAGAGGUGAAAGCCCAGGGCUCAACCUUGGAAUUGCCUUUGAUACUGGCUGUCUUGAGUACGGGAGAGGUGUGUGGAACUCCGAGUGUAGAGGCGAAAUUCGUAGAUAUUCGGAAGAACACCAGUGGCGAAGGCGACACACUGGCCCGUUACUGACGCUGAGGCUCGAAAGCGUGGGGAGCAAACAGG
rnacentral:rRNA from 1 species